rnacentral:tRNA from 1 species
ACAGGUAUAGCUCAGUCGGUAGAGCGUCGGUCUCCAAAACCGAAAGUCGUGGGUUCAAGUCCUUCUGCCUGUGCUA